GACGAACGCUGGCGGCGUGCUUAACACAUGCAAGUGGAGCGACGAACCGGGGCUUGCCCCGGGGCAGAGCCGCGAACGGGUGAGUAACACGUGGGUAACCUACCCCGAUGACCGGGACAACCCGAGGAAACUCGAGCUAAUACCGGAUGUGCUCCUUGAUCUUGAGGUCAAGGCGUAAAGAUAGCUUCGGCCUUCGCAUCGGGACGGGCCCGCGGCCCAUUAGCUUGUUGGUGGGGUAACGGCUCACCAAGGCGACGAUGGGUAGCUGGUCUGAGAGGACGAUCAGCCACACUGGGACUGAGACACGGGCCCAGACUCCUACGGGAGGCAGCAGUGGGGAAUCUUGCGCAAUGCGCGAAAGCGUGACGCAGCAACGCCGCGUGGGGAAGACGCCU
rnacentral:rRNA from 1 species